rnacentral:lncRNA from 1 species
CGGUGGCUGGAGCACCAGAUCAUACUAUGGGGGUGCAGGGUCAUAUCGGGGUGGCUCGAGAUCCUUCUGCUACAGGGGUGGCACAACCUGUGGCAGCGGGAGAGGGUCAGGUAGUUCCCUCUUUUCCUCCCAAGCUUGUUGGGAAGCAAUGAGUCUCUCCACCAUCUUAAAUAACUGGUCAACAUCUUCUCUAAGCGAACUCUCCCGAGCUGCUCGGUUUAGUGGGGGCCUUCCCCUCCUUAUCUAUCUGUACCUGCAUUACACAAGAAAUGGUUGAGUGACAAUUUAUUAUUUUUGGUGUUUCUUAAAGGUCUUGUGUAAGGAAU